rnacentral:rRNA from 1 species
UACGUAGGGCCCGAGCAUUAUCCGGAAUUAUUGGGCGUAAAGAGCGUGUAGGUUUCUUUACAAGUCGGUCGUUAAAUCUCAGAGCUCAACUCUGAGACCGCGAGCGAUACUGUAGGGAUAGAGGUUUGCAGGGGCUAGCAGAAUUUCUGGAGUAGGGGUGAAAUCCGUUGAUACCAGAAGGAAUACCAAUGGCGAAGGCAGCUAGCUGGGCAAUACCUGACACUGAGACGCGAAAGCGUGGGGAGCAAACGGG